rnacentral:SRP_RNA from 1 species
GCCAGGCACAGUGGCUUGUGCCUGUAGUCCCGGCUACACAGGAGGCUGUGGUGGGAGAAUCGCUUGAGCCCAGGAGUUCUGGGCUGUACUGCAUUAUGCCAAUUGGGUGUCUGCACUAAGUUCGGCAUCAAUAUGAUGACCUCCCAGGAGCGGGGGACCACCAGGUUGCCUAAGGAGGGAACUGGCCCAGGUUAGAAAUGGAGCAGGUCAAAACUCCCAUGCUGAUCAGUAGUGGGAUCGUGACUGUGAACAGCCACUGCACUCCAGCUUGGGCAACAUGGCAAGAACUCAUCUCU